rnacentral:misc_RNA from 1 species
GAUGAAGAACGUAGCGAAAUGCGAUAAGUAAUGUGAAUUGCAGAAUUCAGUGAAUCAUCGAAUCUUUGAACGCACCUUGCGCUCCUUGGUAUUCCGAGGAGCAUGCCUGUUUGAGUGUCAUUAAAUUCUCAACCUCAUCAGUUUUGUUAUGAAGCUGUGUGAGGCUUGGAUGUGGGGGUUUGUGCAGGCUGCCUCAGUGCGGUCUGCUCCCCUGAAAUGUAUUAGCGAGUUCCAACUGGGCUCCGUCUAUUGGUGUGAUAAUUAUCUACGCCGUGGAUUGGGCUUAGACUUGCUUCUAACCGUCCGCAAGGACAAUCUUUUGACAAUUUGACCUCAAAUCAGGUAGGACUACCCGCCGAACUUAAGCAUAUCAAUAAGCGGAGGA